rnacentral:rRNA from 1 species
CAUGCAUGUCUAAGUACAAACCAAAUUAAGGUGAAACCGCGAAAGGCUCAUUAAAUCAGUUAUGGUUCCUUAGAUCGUACACAUUUACUUGGAUAACUGUGGUAAUUCUAGAGCUAAUACAUGCUAAGCGAGCCCCGACCUCACAGGGAAGGGGUGCUUUUAUUAGAUCAAAACCAAUCGGUGCGCUCUUUCGGGGGCGUUGCCGCAAACACUGGUGAAUCUGAAUAACUUUUGCUGAUCGCACGGCCUUGCGCCGGCGACGCAUCUUUCAAAUGUCUGCCUUAUCAACUUUCGAUGGUAGGUUCUGCGCCUACCAUGGUUGUAACGGGUAACGGGGAAUCAGGGUUCGAUUCCGGAGAGGGAGCCUGAGAAACGGCUACCACAUCCAAGGAAGGCAGCAGGCGCGCAAAUUACCCACUCCCGGCACGGGGAGGUAGUGACGAAAAAUAACGAUACGGGACUCAUCCGAGGCCCCGUAAUCGGAAUGAGUACACUUUAAAUCCUUCAACGAGGAUCAAUUGGAGGGCAAGUCUGGUGCCAGCAGCCGCGGUAAUUCCAGCUCCAAUAGCGUAUAUUAAAGUUGUUGCGGUUAAAAAGCUCGUAGUUGAAUUUGUGUUCCGCGCCGCUGGUACGCCGCUCGCGGCGAUAACUGGCGUGCGGUGGGACGUCCAGCCGGUGGACCGUGACCGGGUGCAGUGCGGGUCGUGCGUAACGGGCAGGGAUCGCGACCGGUGUGUCGGCUCUUGUGCUAGUUGGGUCUGUGUGCGGGCGUGCUUCACGGUGCGUCUCCGUUACCAGGUCCGCUAUGCGCGGGACUCGCUGCCGUGUUAAGCGCCUUGCCGCUGUGCGCCGGCCGGCUGCCCGCCAGGGCGGUCCGACGUCCGUCCGUGGGUGAGGCCGCGAGGUCCGCUCCGAGACGGAAAUCCUGCCGCGGUGCUCUUAACCGAGUGUCGAGGUGGGCCGGCACGUUUACUUUGAACAAAUUGGAGUGCUCAAAGCAGGCCAAUUAUAUGCCUGAACACUGUGCGCAUGGAAUAAUAGAAUAGGACCUCGGUUCUAUUUUGUUGGUUCUCGGAAGACCGAGGUAAUGAUUAAUAGGGACAGAUGGGGGCAUUCGUAUUGCGACGUUAGAGGUGAAAUUCUUGGAUCGUCGCAGGACGCACUAAAGCGAAAGCAUUUGCCAAAAAUGUUUUCAUUAAUCAAGAACGAAAGUUAGAGGCCCGAAGGCGAUCAGAUACCGCCCUAGUUCUAACCAUAAACUAUGCCAGCUAGCGAUCCGCCGACGUUACUUAUAUGACUCGGCGGGCAGCUUCCGGGAAACCAAAGCAUUUGGGUUCCGGGGGAAGUAUGGUUGCAAAGCUGAAACUUAAAGGAAUUGACGGAAGGGCACCACCAGGAGUGGAGCCUGCGGCUUAAUUUGACUCAACACGGGAAACCUCACCAGGCCCGGACACCGGAAGGAUUGACAGAUUGAGAGCUCUUUCUUGAUUCGGUGGGUGGUGGUGCAUGGCCGUUCUUAGUUGGUGGAGUGAUUUGUCUGGUUAAUUCCGAUAACGAACGAGACUCUAGCCUGCUAACUAGGCGUUUGAGAAUUCAAUCCGGUAUCUAUGAGGUGCGUGCACGCGAUCAGCUAUGGGCCGGAAGAGCGCCGUCGGCGGUCGGAUUUGGGCGGUGUCGUGCGCCGGUCGUGUCUAGUUGGGUGUUGCGCGUGGCGAUUGGUAAAACAGUUGUCGCGUGUGCAUUCGACUGGGCCGGUCGGUGUUGUCGGUGCCGUUCUGCCGGUCAAACCGUGCGGUGUGACUUUCGGUACCGGCCCGCGUUGCAACCGUGCUUUAACUACCGGCGUAAAUCGUAUUCUUCUUAGAGGGACAGGCGGAUCGAAGCCGCACGAGAUUGAGCAAUAACAGGUCUGUGAUGCCCUUAGAUGUUCUGGGCCGCACGCGCGCUACACUGAAGGAAUCAGCGUGUUUUUUCCCUGGCUGAAAGGCUCGGGUAACCCGCUGAACCUCCUUCGUGCUAGGGAUCGGGGAUUGCAAUUAUUCCCCGUGAACGAGGAAUUCCCAGUAAGCGCGAGUCAUAAGCUCGCGUUGAUUAAGUCCCUGCCCUUUGUACACACCGCCCGUCGCUACUACCGA